rnacentral:misc_RNA from 1 species
GUGAAUCAUCGAAUUUUUGAACGCAAAUUGCACUUUCUGGUAUUCCUGAAAGUAUGCCUGUUUGAGGGUCAGUUAAAUAUAAAUCGGUGUUGUUUCUGCUUUUCGUGGUGAUGCGUCGUAAUUGAGUUGUCUUACCUUCGGUUAAGUGACUUAAUAUUUUUCAUUAUUUUCGAACGUAGUUAUAUUUCUUACGUACGUUUGAGAUAUCGAAUACUUUAUUCUGUUCUGUCAUUCGCAUGAUUCGCACCUAUAAUUUUUCUGUAAUUGACCUCAAAUCAG